rnacentral:rRNA from 1 species
AUUGAACGCUGGCGGCAUGCCUUACACAUGCAAGUCGAACGGCAGCACGGGAGCAAUCCUGGUGGCGAGUGGCGAACGGGUGAGUAAUAUAUCGGAACGUGCCCAGUCGUGGGGGAUAACGUAGCGAAAGCUAUGCUAAUACCGCAUACGAUCUAUGGAUGAAAGCGGGGGAUCGCAAGACCUCGCGCGAUUGGAGCGGCCGAUAUCAGAUUAGGUAGUUGGUGAGGUAAGGCUCACCAAGCCGACGAUCUGUAGCUGGUCUGAGAGGACGACCAGCCACACUGGGACUGAGACACGGCCCAGACUCCUACGGGAGGCAGCAGUGGGGAAUUUUGGACAAUGGGCGCAAGCCUGAUCCAGCAAUGCCGCGUGCAGGAUGAAGGCCUUCGGGUUGUAAACUGCUUUUGUACGGAGCGAAAAGGCUUCCACUAAUACUGGGGGCUCAUGACGGUACCGUAAGAAUAAGCACCGGCUAACUACGUGCCAGCAGCCGCCGUAACAC